rnacentral:snoRNA from 1 species
CCAUGCGUACAAAAGACACUGUGGGCUGCCCAGGUCCUGGUCAUUGUUAGUGCCGGGAGAGGAAUUGCUGAAGUCUUUGCUGGUAUUUGGAGGUCCAGUCCUGUCCCUCUGGACCCUGGAGCUUUUUCACG